rnacentral:rRNA from 1 species
GGCCGCGGGAAUUCGAUUCAGGCCUAACACAUGCAAGUCGAGCGGGGUUUUCGGACCUAGCGGCGGACGGGUGAGUAAUGCGUAGGAAGCUACCCGACAGAGGGGGAUACCAGUUGGAAACGACUGUUAAUACCGCAUAAUGUCUACGGACCAAAGUGUGGGACCUUCGGGCCACAUGCUGUCGGAUGCGCCUACGUGGGAUUAGCUAGUUGGUGAGGUAAUGGCUCACCAAGGCGACGAUCCCUAGCUGGUUUGAGAGGAUGAUCAGCCACACUGGAACUGAGACACGGUCCAGACUCCUACGGGAGGCAGCAGUGGGGAAUAUUGGACAAUGGGCGCAAGCCUGAUCCAGCCAUGCCGCGUGUGUGAAGAAGGCCUUCGGGUUGUAAAGCACUUUCAGCGAGGAGGAAGGGUUGUGUGUUAAUAGUACACAGCCUUGACGUACUCGCAGA